UGACCACGUUGAUAUGUAUAGUU
rnacentral:siRNA from 1 species